rnacentral:tRNA from 1 species
GCCUUCGUGGUGUAAAGGUCAGUACACUCGGCGCGUAUUCGAGAAGUCCGAGGUUCAAGUCCCGGCAAGGGCA